GGGGUUGUGGCUCAGUGGUAGAGUGCUUGCUUUGAACAUAUGAGGCACUGGGUUCACUCCUCAGCACCACA
rnacentral:tRNA from 1 species